UGGUCAAGUUAUUAAGGGUGCAGGGCGGAUGCCUUGGCACUAGGAGCCGAUGAAGGACGUGAUAAGCUGCGAUAAGCUUCGGGGAGUUGCACGUAAACUUUGAUCCGAAGAUUUCCGAAUGAGGAAACUCACUUAGAGUAAUGUCUAAGUAUCAUUAAGUGAAUACAUAGCUUAAUGAGGGGAACUCAGGGAACUGAAACAUCUAAGUACCUGAAGGAAGAGAAAGAAAUUCGAUUCCGUAAGUAGCGGCGAGCGAACGCGGAUUAGCCCAAACCAAUAAAGUUUUCUUUA
rnacentral:rRNA from 1 species